rnacentral:rRNA from 1 species
UACGGAGGGUGCGAGCGUUGUCCGGAAUCACUGGGCGUAAAGGGCGCGUAGGCGGUCCGGUAAGCGUGUGGUGAAAGCCCGGGGCUCAACCCCGGGUCUGCCGUGGAUACUGCAAGGCUUGAGUACUGUAGAGGCAGGUAGAAUAUCGGGUGUAGCGGUGGAAUGCGUAGAGAUCCGAUAGAAGACCGGUGGCGAAGGCGGCCUGCUGGGCAGUAACUGACACUGAGGCGCGACAGCGUGGGGAGCAAACAGG